AUGCCUGAAAGAUAGCUGAUGAAUAUUAAUUAGGUCGUGCUGACACAAACUUCAUAUGGCGAAAGAUUAGUUCAUGAAUAUUAAUAAGAUAUAUAUGCUUUUUUCACUUUUUCGUAAAUAUAAAUAUAUAAAUUGGCCAGGAAAUAUGUUACAUGAUAGUGUAUGUUGUUAUUUUUUCUUCCAGCCUAUUUUUCUUCCUCCUAUUCCUCUCUUCGGUGUUCCAGCAGGUCAGUUUUUAUGACGUCCCGAGCAUUGUUUUCCAGUUCGCAAUGCACGAACAUCAGGGGUCUCUAAGCUGCCCUUCUGUGAUCUGUUUGCAGCAUCGUCUUGCCUUUGGAUUGUUUAAGCUCUGCUAAACCCUUAUUAAGGUGGGACAUUAUGCCUGUCAUUAACGGUAGAUCUGCCCCGAACUCAUUAGUUGCAUCAAGUGCUGAAUGCAGCCGAAGCUGCAUGAACCGUUCAUAAGUCAGUCUUAAGAAGCUUUGAUUACUGGUUCGCGUCAUCUGUUACAACAAACAAGUGAACAGAAAGAACAUUUGUUCAAGUUCAUUUUGACUCGAGAACAAUCGCAUCAGCAGACCAAUUCGCGAAUGAAUCGUUCAGCGCAAUUUGUGAACCGAUUCAAUAGAUUCUUUAAACAUCAGCGUGAAAUCAAAAUUGACAGUUCUUAUUUUUAUAUGGAAUAUUGCAAUAUUUCUACAUCAUUAUUUUUUAAUUCAUGUGCCCUCGUAAUCUUUAAUCAAAAUAACUUCACCAAUUGCAGCGACAUCUCUUCUCUGAUGACAUAUGUACUGGCAUGAGGGCGGGACAACCUGUCACUCACAUGAGAUCAUGCCAAUAUCAAACCACAGUGGUCCAAUUAUCCAAUCAAUUCCCAAUGGACAAAAUCUAGUCCCGCCCUACAUUUAUUCUUGUUUGAGAAGCAGUUUUGGAAAUACAUUACAAUAAGGGAAGAAAAAACUACCACAACUUCCGUUUUGUGCUGUUUUUGUGCUCGUUCACAAAUCGGACAUCGCAUACCUCGAUUUCUUUUGUUCGAAGAAGGAGUGAUAUGUUUUAUGAAGUGUAGUAAAGUAAAAAUAAUAUGAUAAAGUACAGAUACUUGAAAAAUGUAGGCUACAUAAGUACACUAGUAAUUUUACAAUUCAUUAAUUGCUAUUUGCAUUGGUCAUAACAGAUUAUUAUAGACUUAAAUAUCUGCCCUGUAUUCCAGAAAUACUCCAGUUUUAACCGAGCAAACAAACACACACUGUCCCUUCACAAAAAGAUAGACAGGAUUUCAUGCAGACAUGUGACCGGUUGUAUAAGCACCCAAAGCUUUAUUAGUCUGCAGGUGUCUGAAGAGCGGUGACAGAUCUGUCUGGUGUGUGUGCGUGUGUGUGUGGACGGGACCUUUUUGGUUCUCUGGCCAGAAGGACUGAUCUGGUCCAAGAGCUGCUGCUGAGAUGUUCUUCCGCAUUCCUCUCCUGACACCAGGAUACAUUCGAUACUUGCAGACUCAGGCGGCACGGACCAGUCUGCAGAAGGAAGGGCCCAUUGUACCCCGCUUUGCCAUGCUGCUAGGCCUUGUGGGUAUUGGGAUGUCAGGAUACAGCUCUCGACAGCUGACCCUAUACCACAAGCCAUCGCCAAAUCUCCUGCGGUGAAACGCAAAGCAGAAAGCAAAGGAAAAAACGCAUCUCUUUUGUUUAAAGGUGUGUUCUUUAUGCUCAAGCUCAUCCUUUAUCUGUUUAUCUGAACAAUCCAAAAAAUUCAUCAUUACAGUUUUUCCACAUCAUGCUGAAGCUCAUAGUCCUGCUUUGGUUGCGAGGAUGGCCGAUCCUCAACCAAGCCCUCCCAAACUUGUUCUACAGCAACAUCAACUGAGUCAACUUUCCUCUUUUUAAAGUGCCCCUAUUAUACUUUUCGGAUAUUAUCUUUCAUGUAGUGUGUAAUAUAGCUGGUAGUGAAUGUGAAAGGCCUGCAAAGUUUUAAAGAUCAAAGUGCACAACAGAAAGAACCGAUUCUGAACUGCCUGAAACUAACCAGUUACUUCCUGCUCAAACCAAUGUAGGUUUGCAUAAUGCCAGAAAACAAUAACUCAAUCGUUACCGUUCAUAUCACUGUGUAUCAAGUGCUCCGUAGAUAUUCAGAUAUGGCAAAAGGGCGUUUCAUUUCCAACAUGCACUGUAAGCGGUGGACCAAUCACAACAGACCUGCCCAUCUGACCAAUCAGAGCAGAGCUGGCUGUAGGAAAGGAGGGGUUUAGAGAGACUGAAUCCUUUAUCGAGUUGUUUUUUUCAGACACUGAGAAAAGAGGUGAUGCUGCAAUGUAUGUUAUGAGAAAAUGAAAGUGUUUUUUGACCUUGUAUGUGAGUCAACCUAUUGUAGAAGACCCUUAAAACAAAAUUAGGAACCUUUGAAAUAGCAUAAUAGGGGCUUUAAUCUAGUAAAAAAUGCAUUGAGGGUACAUAAAUAUGUUUGUGAGCACCCUUCUGAAUCAUAAAAAUGAUUGGAUAUGGAUAUGGAUAUCCCAAAGACCACUUCAGUCCACCAUUUGGGACAAGGGUCCAUUUAGCACUGGAAUAUAUUUUUGACAUAAUGUCAAAAAUGUCAAUAACAGAAAACAAUUGUACUGUUUUGCAUCUAAAGUUCCUAAAGAAGACCACCACAGGUUCCACAGUCAUCAUAAAGCCAGCAGUCAGAAGACUAGCACAAAUAUUAAUGCUAAAGUAUGACUUCAGUUUUUAUUGAUUUCUGAAAGCAAUUUUAAGAGACAUACUGCUCUAAUAAACAGAGUAAUUUUAGCAAGUCAUGAUGAGUCACUAUUUACAGGAAUAUUGCAAAUUUCUCUCUGGCUGUCAGGAAGUCAUUUAUUCUUUAUAUAAAAAGAAAAAGACUUUAAUAUAUAUAUAAGGUGAACUAUUUAUUUGAUUUAUAUUUUAUAUUCUUACAUACAAUUUAUUGGUCAUUUAUUUAUAUAUUUAUAUAUAUUUUUGUUUUUGAGUUCUAAUGUACAUAUGUAAAUGUAAAUACGUUUAUUUAAUACAUGUAUUUGUAUUUAAAAUGUAUUUGUGUUAUAUAAACUGCAAAGUACUGAAUAUGCUUAUUUAUGAAUUCUUUAGCUCUGAGAGUAGGACAGUGUUUCUAUGAUGGGCCUCCAGCUUUUCCUCACAAGGAUGUACAGAAGGCCUCCCAAUUUGGGCUUGGCACUCUGGUUUGCCAACCUCAGUGUCACCCAGAAAGCAGAUGCCAAUGUACAACCCUCCUGAAAUGCCCAUGAAGGACACUGACCUAUCAGAAACUCUCUCCUAACAAGGCAUCUGAUCAAUACGAUCUCUUAAAUAGUGUUUGUUUAUGGGGGGGUGGGAAUGAAAAAAAUGGUGUGUUUUGGCAUUGAUGUAUGUACUUAAUGUCUCACCGACAGCAAAAUGCCAUUGGUAUUGUGAAUGGGACAGGAUUGAUGUGAAUGUGAGCGCUGAGUCACGUAAUGACGUCUCAGACAGGCCUUCAAGAAGAGGAGCUUACGUUCUUAAAAUGGUCUAAUCUGCUCCUCCUUCUCAUCCAAUUACAGCUGGCUGCUAAUAUAAGGUCAAAGAACUUUAUUUAGGGAACACGCCAACAAAUGACCAACCACUUAAAUUGGGGACAUUGCGUUGUUUUGAUUCUUUGUGUGCGCUCUGACUGAUUGCAGUGAUUUUUUACUUUAUUGACUAUAAUGACUGUUGCCAUUGUGACCAUUUUACGGCUCUUUGCACUUUGAUGGAAGGAAUGAUUGUAUUUUCAAAGCUCUUUUUGAAUGAACAGAAAGUUGUAAUAUGUCUUUAUUGUGUAUUUAUUUAAAGAAUAAAAUAUUCAAGCACA